UAAUUUCAUAUUUUAAUCAAAUAGCCUACAUAAAUAUAUGCUAAUGGGUCAAGAUAAUGGCCUUAGAACUUUAGAGCUGAAUAAAUCAGGCCUCUCAGGCAUGGACUUAAAUCUGUAUUUCAAUGAACUCUUUCAACCAGAACUAUGCCUUGAACUAUGACCCUAAAUGUAUUCUCACUACUGCCUGACAAAACUGGGCCUGUGACCUUCUCCAAGUAUCUAUCAUGCAUAGGUAUUUCAGAGGCAAUAAGUUUAUGAUAAUAUUUAAAUUUCAUCAGUUCUUGGGUCAUGAAAGGGGAACAUUCUACCUCAUUCUCUGUUACUAUUCAGCAUGUCUUCUAGGUAGAGUUUUUUUAUUUGUUUGUUUUUCCUUUGGUGUCCUAAUAUUCUUGUCAAAUCAGAGACUGAGGGAUUAAGAAGAGACUGAGGUAUUAAGACACACAUACCCAAGAAUGGAACAGACAAAGCUGGAACCAGUUUAUCAAUAGAUCCUUUGUAAGAGGAAAAAGAAAAUGACUCUCUUCUGAGAUCAGAGAAUGAAAAUCAAAUAAUUAAGCAGUGAGGAAGACUAUGGUUCACUCUACAAAUAUUGGAAAUUAUAUUAAGAUGGUAUAUGUAUAGGCAACUUUUAUGUCCUUAGAAAUGUAUUUUGCCUGUGACAUCCAAGCCAGCUGCAGUGGUGGGCAAAGCAGCCUCACUACAUUCUUUGUAUGUCAGAUCCCUCUCAAGUUGAGGUCUUGGCCCCAAUUAAAUCAGUUCUGAGCUUUUUAUAAAUCAAGUCCUUCAUAAAUCUUGCAGUAACAUUUCAUUCUCUUUGCUCUCCUGCCUCUUACUGAGGGUAGCUUCAGGCAUUUCCAGACCUUCCUGUUCAGCUGAGCCCUCUUGAGGAGAUGUGUACAAUUCUUCCUUUUGUUUCCCUCUAUUUACGAAAAAUACUCGCUUCCUCCAGGACAUCUGUGUAGCAUCUCUACCCGAGGGGAAACCCUUGUCUUCCACCCACACUCAGGGCUGCAAGGGAUAGGUUCACAGCAGGACAACUGGUUGAUUAGUCAUGUAAUUCAAAAUUACUAGGUACUCAAACUUAGACUAGUGAAAUACAAAAUGUGCUCUCGUGUUUGGUAGUAUUAUAUAAGCUUAUAUUAUCAUAGAAUUUAGAUUCUUGUAGAAUGGCAUAAGCCACAGAGAAGCAGGGGACUUAGAAAUCAAAAGCCACUUGGCCUAUUUGAAAUGAUCAUGUGACACUAAUAAGGCCCACCAGUGCAGAAAGGAGUAGCUGGCAGAGUUCUGCAGGGAUGAGCUUGUGCGUACUCUCACCUAGUGGCAUCAAAUGCUGCUCCUCACACAGAGGCUAAACUGGAUAGAUGUUUAUUUCAAAGCCAAGAGCCCUCAAAUAGACCGUCCACAUGGCAAGCCUGUGAUUUCCUCUCCUGGAAUAUGAAGUGGCUUCUUUUCAAACAUUUAUGAGAAACAUAAAAUUUUAGUUUGCUUUCUCAAGUGAAUAAUAAUUACUCUGGAUGGGAAGGAUUCAUCCAGAGACAUAAAAACAUCCCCAGUCACUACUAAUUAAAAGAAAUCUACUAAGACAUAUAUCACUUUGGCUAGAAAGCAAUAGCAUUCCUUAUUCUAACUAUAUCACAGGGCUUGCCAAGUCUCAGUGAAAAGGGGAAUUAAUUUGACCCAGAAAGGCUUACUCAGAGAGGCAUCCACCAGUCCUACGCUGUUGUCAGACUAACAAAAACAGUGUGGAAGAACAAGAGUUAGGGUAAGAAUGAUCUAAGAGAGGUUUCCUGAAGCCAGCACUAUAUCAGGCUGAAGGCAGUGAGAUUCAUCCAACAAGAGUUCAAGAUUUUGAAAACUGGCACACACAGAAGCCUAAGCAGUGACACAGUAAGUAGGAAACAGGGGAUGACCACAAUAUUUUGGUCAAUUCAUAUAAAGGGUCCAUUGGAUGAUAUGUGAUAUGUCUUAUUGACAAAGGUCAGGCUGGACUAAGGUAUAGAGCAAAUAUGUCCUUACUCAAACCUCCUCAGAAGUAGAAACAAGGCUGGGCAUGGUGGCUCAUGCCUGUAAUCCCAGCACUUUGGGAAGCCAAGGCGGUUGGAUCACCUGAGUUCAGGAGUUCGAGACCAGCCUGGGCAACAUGGUGAAACCCUGUCUCUACCAAAAAUACAAAAAUUAGCCAGAUGUGGUGGCACAGGCCUGUAGUCCCAGAUGCUCAGGAGGCUGAGGUUGAAGGGUUGCUUGAGCCCAGGAGGUCAAGGCUGUAGUGAGCUGUGUUUGCACCACUACACUCCAACCUG
rnacentral:lncRNA from 10 species